rnacentral:lncRNA from 1 species
CAGACACACUCGGUCUCCAUCCGUUCGUUUCUGAACUUGGCGUUUGGAUUAGAACAGAACCGAACUGGGAUCAGAACCGGACCUCCAACCCGGACCGGACCGGACUCGUUCAGUGAGUAGGACCGUUUCAGCCUCGAUCAGGAGAACAGCUGGAGUCACUCAAUGAUCUCCUCCAUCAACCUUCAAACUGUCAGGAAAUAUUCAUGGAGAUGAAGAAAUGUCCCGGAUCUUGAUCCAGAUCCAGUUGAAAACUUGUUGGUCCUAGCCUCCCACCUCCUCCUCUGUGAGGAAUCUGGGGUCCAUGGCUGCGUCCCGGGCCCCCGGCAGUCUGCGGGACCUGCAGCUGGCUCUGCGGCUGAAGGUGGAGGAGCUCCGUCAGAGAGACGCGCUGGAGCUGGACUCCAAGGACGACCUGAUCCGGCAGCUGCAGGUGGAGCUGGACAGGUACCGAGGCGCGGCGCGGCGCGCGGGAAAGGACUCAGAGACUCAUCUCACAAAGAGACGCGCCUACUCUGCUGAGGCCACGCCCAUGGACCCCGCCCAGCUGGCCACCGUCAGGAUCACCAGCUAUAGAAAGAGCAAAGAGUUGUUUCCCAGGUGGAGCUACAACAG